ensembl:lncRNA
AGAAAAACAAAAGCAAGAGAUAAUUUAAGAUGGUAUAAACUUUGCAAGAAGCAUGGUAAGCUAAAAAAAAAAAAGGCAAAGAAGAAAGAAAUCUGUGGGAUUACAGAUGUUAUUCUCUGCUCACAAACCACACAUUCUCAUCAGCACUUGCAACGCCCUCAUUUCAAAGCCUUAGACUCACAUCUCCUUGCUGUUGGUCUCUCUAAAGGAAAAGGAGACAGAAGGAUUUCUGCCUUCCUCCCUUGCCCUCUGAUGACUACCGUGAAGGAUGGAGAAGUGCUUUCCAGCAGAAGGAAGCUCCCUGUCCAGUGGAUACAUCCCAAGAGUCUGCAUAACAUGACCUUUCAGUACAUUUGGAGCUGUCCGUCGACCAAAGUGAAUCUAUGGCCAAACCCAGCGUCUGUGGGAAGAAAUUAACUGUGGGAAUGGAUAUGGGGAGAUAAGGGAAAUUAACUGUCAGUGCAGUCGCCUGUAGGUAUGUUGGCCUCAAAAAACAAACUCAGAAUUGUUCCUUUUCAAAUAUUCUCUGGGUGAGUCUAUUGAAUAGUUACCAUCUAUUUCUUUCUUUAAUUUUUUUAAUAUUUAUUUUUAGCUGAAGGCUAAUUGCUCUACAAUAUUGUGCUGGUUUCUGCCAUACAUCAACAGUUAUCAUCUAUUUCUUGAAAGCUGGGAAGACUUCCUCAGUGAAG